rfam:Tortispora caseinolytica NRRL Y-17796 unplaced genomic scaffold CANCAscaffold_3, whole genome shotgun sequence.
CUCCAGGUGGCCAAGUUGGCUAAGGCGCGAGGCUGUAAUGGUACAAUCACCUUGAGAUCGGGCGUUCGAAUCGCCCCCUGGAGA